CCAAGCGAAGAAGGGCACAAGGUGGAUGCCUUGGUACUGGGAGCCGAAGAAAGACGUGACAAGCUGCGAAAAGCUGCGUGGAGGAGCACAUAUCCUGUGAUACGCAGAUAUCUGAAUGGGGGAACCCGGUGCGAGUAAUAUCGCAUCAUCCAUAUAUGAGUAAAGUAGUAUAUGGAAGGUAACGCGGGGAACUGAAACAUCUAAGUACCCGUAGGAAGAGAAAGAAAAAUCGAUUUUCCAAGUAGCGGCGAGCGAACGGGAAAGAGGCCAAACCGUGCGUUUACGUACGGGGUUUAGGACCUGCAUAGAGUGGAAGCAUGGAUAGUCGAAGACGACUGGAACGUCGCAUCAGAGAGGGUAAAGAUCCCGUAGACGAAAUCCAAGCCAAGCGAGCAGGGAUCCGGAGUAGGGCCGGGCACGUGGAAUCCGGUCUGAAGACGGGGGGACCGCCCCCCAAGCCUAAAUACUACCCAGUGACCGAUAGCGAAUAGUACCGUGAGGGAAAGGUGAAAAGAACCCCGGGAGGGGAGUGAAAUAGAACCUGAAACCUUGUGCCUACAAUCGGAGGGAGCGAAAGUGACCUCGUACUUUUUGUAGAACGGGCCAACGAGUUAUGGUGUGCGGCGAGGUUAAGUUCCUGGAGGAACGAAGCCGAAGCGAAAGCGAGUCUGAACAGGGCGAAGAGUCGUAUGCUGUAGACCCGAAACCGGGUGACCUAUCCAUGCGCAGGCUGAAGUGACCGUAACAGGUCAUGGAGGGCCGAACUCAUAUCUGUUGAAAAAGGUUGGGAUGACGUGUGGAUAGCGGUGAAAUUCCAAUCGAACCCGGAGAUAGCUGGUUCUCCCCGAAAUAGCUUUAGGGCUAGCCUCGUGCUAAGAUACCCGGAGGUAGAGCACUGAAUAUUCUAGGGGCCUUCACCGGUUACCGAAAAUUAUCAAACUCCGAAUGCCGGAAUAUCAUGCACGGGAGUCAGACUAUGAGAGAUAAGUUCCAUGGUCGAGAGGGAAACAGCCCAGACCGACAGCUAAGGUCCCCAAAUUCAGAUUAAGUGGAAAAGGAUGUGGAGUUGCACAGACAGCUAGGACGUUGGCUCAGAAGCAGCCAUUCAUUCAAAGAGUGCGUAAUAGCUCACUAGUCGAGUGGCUCUGCGCCGAAGAUGAACGGGGCUGAAAUCUGAUACCGAAGCUACGGAUAGAAAUAUGGUAGGGGAGCAUCGUAUAGAGGAGGAAGGUGAGCCGGAAGGCGAGCUGGACGAUAUACGAGAGAGAAUGUUGGCAUGAGUAGCGUAAGGCAGGUGAGAAUCCUGCCCGCCGAAAAUCUAAGGUUUCCUGAGGAAGGUUCGUCCACUCAGGGUUAGUCGGGGCCUAAGCCGAGGGCGAAAGCCGUAGGCGAUGGACAACAGGCAGAGAUUCCUGUACCACCGGAGGUCGUUUGAGUGAAGCGGGGACACGGAAGGAUGAGUUGAGCACACCGUUGGUAGAGUGUGUCCAAGCAGUGAGGGAGUAUGUAUUUAGUCAUACAUAUGGAACUGAGCUGUGAUGGGGAGGCGAAUGAGCCGGAAGCAACGUAAUUCACGCCGUCGAGAAAAGCCGCUAACGAGACCCGAGGUGCCCGUACCGCAAACCGACACAGGUAGAUGAGGAGAGGAUCCUAAGGUGAGCGAGAGAACCAUUGUCAAGGAACUCGGCAAAUUGACCCCGUAACUUAGGGAGAAGGGGUGCUCGAGAGAUCGAGCCGCAGUGAAAAGGCCCAGGCAACUGUUUACCAAAAACACAGGUCUCUGCGAAAGCGAAAGCUGAAGUAUAGGGGCUGACGCCUGCCCGGUGCUGGAAGGUUAAGGGGAAGUGUUAUCUACGGAGAAGCACGGAACUGAAGCCCCAGUAAACGGCGGCCGUAACUAUAACGGUCCUAAGGUAGCGAAAUUCCUUGUCGGGUAAGUUCCGACCCG
rnacentral:rRNA from 1 species